UCAACGUAUUGUAUUCAACUU
rnacentral:piRNA from 1 species